rnacentral:rRNA from 1 species
GAUGAACGCUGGCGGCGUGCUUAACACAUGCAAGUCGAACGAUGAAGCCCAGCUUGCUGGGUGGAUUAGUGGCGAACGGGUGAGUAACACGUGAGUAACCUGCCCUUAACUCGGGGAUAAGCCUGGUAAACUGGGUCUAAUACCGGAUAGGAGCGUGCACCGCAUGGUGGGUGUUGGAAAGAUUUAUCGGUUUUGGAUGGACUCGCGGCCUAUCAGCUUGUGGGUGAGGUAAUGGCUCACCAAGGCGACGACGGGUAGCCGGCCUGAGAGGGUGAACGGCCACACUGGGACGGAGACACGGCCCAGACUCCUACGGGAGGCAGCAGUGGGGAAUAUUGCACAAUGGGCGAAAGCCUGAUGCAGCGACGCCGCGUGAGGGAUGACGGCCUUCGGGUUGUAAACCUCUUUCAGUAGGGAAGAAGCGAAAGUGACGGUACCUGCAGAAGAAGCACCGGCUAACUACGUG